UCUUGUUCAUGAAAGUUGCAAAGACCCGUGCAGUGGCAGCCAUAAGAUGCUGAAUCAUCUCCUCCCUUCCGACCAAAGUAAAAUAAUCUCCGAAGUCCGUCUGUAAACACGGCUGCCCACCGUUGUCCACAAGAGGCAACUUGUAGCCUGGCACCCUCCUCGCCGGCAUUCCGUGAAAAACCCUUGCAUCCUCCAGUUGUUUCGUGUAUACAUCCAGCAACCUCGACACUACAACACAAACUUGUCAGUAGUAGAAGCAAAAAGUAAAAGACGCCAAAAACGAUAGCCACAGUAUACACCAACACAUUAAGCAGAAAACCAUACGAAGAGACCAUGAUGCCACAGAUGCCGAGAACCCAGGUAACACGUUCUACAAGCUACACAAGACGCCAUGUCGACAGCCACCAACAAAGGCAACAGCCGAUCACAAUCACACAGACACCAUAGCCCCAGCUAUAGCCGCACUAGCACCACGACAAGUAAAACGCCAAGUUGCAGCCAAGUCGUGGUUUUGCUCAGCAAGUGCUUACCUGGCGCAGCUUGAAGGGUUAUCGGCGGGGCCUCUGAAACAGAAAUAUAAACUUGUCAGUACUCGGCAAUAGCCAGCGGGGCAAGCACAAAACAGCGCGAAUAGCCCAUGCGAGGAGGCAAAAACAGAAGAAACGAUCAAAGCAGACUCCUAAGAGACCAAGAUUCCAGCAGAACGAGCACAUCCCAGGCACCAAAUACACACCAAAAUGCUACGUACGUGUAGGAGCCUUUGUUGCCCGAAUAGUAUGAGAAGAUCCAGGCACAUACGUAGACCUGCUCAGGCCGUCUUCCCCUGCCUGUAGACGUCUCCACCUGACCCUCCCUUGCUCAUAGCGCUUCACACUGAUAAAGACAGCCGAGAACUCCUGGAGAACAUCAUUUACUGCCACUCUACCAUCGUUAAGGUAAAACUCGCAACCUUCUGCC
rnacentral:lncRNA from 1 species